UCAGAUUCAUCUGAACCGUUCGCCUGUUAAGUCGUGCUCGUUGUUUACCGUUGUUAUAUUACGUUCGUUUAAUCUUAUUUUUAAAUCUAUUGCGUUCGUUAAGUGCCGUUACUUUUACUCUACGAUCACAUCUCACAACUUCUGGUGUUUUGUAUGUUUUUAGUGUUGUCACUGUGAAAAAGCGAAGUUUUUUUUAUUUGAAAAUUUUUUUUUGAGUGCUUCAACCAGAUCAGAGCUACGAAAUCAAGAAAAUUGUCAUUUCAAUAAGCGUGGUUUCAAUUAAAAUUCAUAAAGAAACUCAUCGUAAUGUAAACAAUUCGAAUUUGCAAAGCAACAGCAACCACAACA